rnacentral:tRNA from 1 species
CGGGCCGUAGUGCAAUGGCUAGCACGAGACGUUUGGGACGUUUUAAUCCGAGUUCGAAUCUCGGCGGCCCGA